AUGCUUCAGCGCUCCGAGUGUUUAUAGCGUUCAGACUCAAACACUUUAUAACACACUGCUGUUUACCACGGUACAAACCCAACAAACACCAUGAAUCUCUUCAGCAGCUUCAUCUGGAUUCUGGCAGCUUUUAUUCCAGCAUCCAGAGGAAUCACUGUGACUCAGCCUGAAGCUGUGACUGUUUCUGAAGGACAAAACGCCAAUAUAGAGUGUAAAACUGAUACUGGGAUAUAUAGCUGGGGUUUAGCUUGGUAUCAGCAGAAACAUGGAGAAGCUCCUAAACUCAUCAUUACUGGGGUAAAUGAUCUCUAUGAUGACAGUUUAAGCCGAUUCAGUGGGAAUGGAGAAGGAGGUGGGACAGAUUUCACUCUGACCAUCAGUGGAGUCCAGACUGAAGAUGCUGGACAUUAUUACUGUCAGAGUUUCCACUGCAGAACAGAUUCUGAUGGUGAUUGUGUGGGUGACUAUGUGUUCACACAGUGAUAAAGAGUCGUACAAAAACCUCCGUCAGUCAGAGUCACAGUGACUGAACUGAUACUGCAGCUGCUCACACACUUUCACACACUUUCACACACACUCAACAGUGAAGAAACGACUCAAUAUGAUCUUAUUGAACAUCACUUUUGUUGAGAUUCAUCAGUUUUUAACCUUUUUGAUUGUGAUUUUUUUUUAGAAGACAUGUUUUUCUCCUGCUAACAUCCUUUAUGUAGAAAUUCAGUCACUUUUGAUCUUCACUUCAGUGGAUAUUUUUCCAUUCUUCACCACAUUUUAAUUUUCUGCAUUUAUAAUUUAUCUUUAUUCUUCUUUCUAAACUGAAUCAUCAUCAGCAUCAUAAACAUGUUCUGCUUGAUCAGUUUAAUAAGUCUAUUGAUUUAUUAACUUCAUCCCUCAUAAUGCAGAUAUUAACAGCAUCAUAUAAACACAUUCCUCAGUUUCACAGCAGAUGAUAAUGAAAAUAAUUGAUAUAAAUAUCUAUGUAUGGAAGAAAUAACAAUGAUAUAAAAAUUAAAUUUAAAAUUAAAGACCAGAUUACCCAACAGCUGUUGUCCACCAUCAAAAACAUAUGCAUGUCACCAUAUAUUUUUUAGAUUUAUUUUAUAAGAUUCAUAAAAGUGAAGAUGUUUCUAUCAUGUGACUCACA